rnacentral:rRNA from 1 species
AGCAUAUCAAUAAGCGGAGGAAAAGAAACCAACAGGGAUUGCCCCAGUAACGGCGAGUGAAGCGGCAACAGCUCAAAUUUGAAAUCUGGCCUCGGCCCGAGUUGUAAUUUGCAGAGGAAGCUUCUGGUGCGGCGCCGUCCGAGUCUCCUGGAACGGAGCGCCAUAGAGGGUGAGAGCCCCGUAUGGACGGAUGCCAAACCUGUGUGAAGCUCCUUCGACGAGUCGAGUAGUUUGGGAAUGCUGCUCUAAAUGGGAGGUAAAUUCCUUCUAAAGCUAAAUAUUGGCCAGAGACCGAUAGCGCACAAGUAGAGUGAUCGAAAGAUGAAAAGCACUUUGAAAAGAGGGUUAAACAGCACGUGAAAUUGUUGAAAGGGAAGCGCUUGUGACCAGACUUGAGCGCGGCGGAUCAUCCGGUGUUCUCACCGGUGCACUCCGCCGUGCCCAGGCCAGCAUCGGCUUCCGCGGGGGGACAAAGGUCCCGGGAACGUAGCUCCUCCGGGAGUGUUAUAGCCCGGGGCGCAAUGCCCCCGCGGGGGCCGAGGACCGCGCAUCUGCAAGGAUGCUGGCGUAAUGGUCAUCAGCGACCCGUCUUGAAACACGGACCAAGGAGUCAAGGUUUUGCGCGAGUGUUUGGGUGUUAAACCCGCACGCGUAAUGAAAGUGAACGUAGGUGAGAGCUUCGGCGCAUCAUCGACCGAUCCUGAUGUAUUCGGAUGGAUUUGAGUAGGAGCGUUAAGCCUUGGACCCGAAAGAUGGUGAACUAUGCUUGGAUAGGGUGAAGCCAGAGGAAACUCUGGUGGAGGCUCGCAGCGGUUCUGACGUGCAAAUCGAUCGUCAAAUCUGAGCAUGGGGGCGAAAGACUAAUCGAACCAUCUAGUAGCUGGUUACCGCCGAAGU